UAGUACCUACCUACUUAUAUAAAGGCAUCUUUGACGAGGUGCACGUCAUAAAAAUAACUAUUUAAGUGUGUAUUUCCUGGCUAACAGUUAUAAUCAUCGUGUUACAAAUUUUUAUUUCGCAUAUCUCAUUACCUUGCAUAACAUCAUGUCACAGUUUCAAAUUUCGUAAUUGAUAUAUUGCGUCACGAUAAUACAACGUGCGCACAACUAAUAUAACGCAUAGCGCUAAGCCUAGUGGCGCACUGAAACUAUUAGCCAUAUCUAUCCGACAAUAUUGUAAGAGCCUGAUUAGAAUUUGUAAUUAUCGAGAUACGGAGUUCAUUUUCUUUGUAGAAUAAAUUCGAAUCGAUGUUCACUUGGCUGGGAAAUUCUUUCCAAAAGUCAAUCGACUAUAACACGUGGUAGUUACAAUAAGAACGUAAAGUUUUUCAACUUCGAGUCAGCAGUGUUGAUCUUAACACGAAUUGCAGAGCUAGUAGUCUUGCGGAGCUCGGUUGGACAAUCUAUAGGAUCUUCGACCCAACUGGAUCUUGUGGUAAAACCGUUUUAAAAAGAUCAUGAUUUUGAUCCUAGAAAAUUCUCUGUACUUCGAAGUUAUCAAUGUCUACUAGAAGUAAUUUAUACAUAAGAACGAGUAAUGAAAGAAUUAGUAUGAAACGUGCUGAUAACUCCAGAAACAGUACCUCUGGUGCGAAAACCUUUCGCCAAGUACGUUGAAAAUGUGUCCUCAUUCUUUAUCGAAUGAGAAUCAACUCACAUACCAUUGCCAAGUACAUGUCUGUUGAAUCACAAUGAGAGCAUGUUCGAAACUUGACACGUGGUUUCCACAUCUCUCUGAAAUCACACUGGGGUCAGACUAACCCUAAGCGUAUCCAACAAAAAAUAAUAAGAGAAUGAAAAUGAGAAAGAAUAUAACUCAGGAAUUAUAAAAGUCCAGAAAUCAGACAUGUCCUUGGCUGUAGUAUGCAGUUUGAUUCUUUUUUAUAUAGGAUGGUGACACAUUUUCAACGCACUUGGCGAAUUGUUUUCGCCCCAGAGCUGCUUUUGGGGGAAAUCAUCGUUAGUAUAUUGUCGUAGUAUAACAAACUAUAAUGAUACUAUUCUAAACCUAAUAUAAGUAGUUGGUAUACACUCACACCUAAACACUUGUACAAAAUAUUGGGCAUAUUGAAUAAACUAUGACUUGGACAUUGUG